CUCUCCUCGACGCGACGGGGCUCUCUGUCCUUUGCUCUCCGUGAUUCGUUCAGGUAAAGCUUCUGUUUAAUGUUCUUCAAUCAUCAUGCAUGGCUUAGAUUGUGCUUUGAUCAGUUGUGAUUUUUUUGUUUCAAGAUCAACGAGUUGAUAAUGUUUCUGUAUGUUGAUUAUGUUGGGUUUAGGUGUAAUAUAUAUUGUUUCAUUGUCGUAAUGUUUGUUGCAAGUUAAUCAAAUUUGAUUUGGCUUAUUUCAGUCGAUUAAUAUAUUUCGUUUCUGUCUUUGUGGGCUGAGAUGUUGGGAUCAAAUGGCGUUAGCUAUACAAGCUGUGGAAAGAGAGCUGAGGAAGCUUCAUCGAACAACAGACUACAAUAUCAAAACAGGUCACGGUAAUGAGUGGAGCAUUGGAGUCGGUAGUUUUCUCAUGUCACGGACUCUGUAUUGGACUGUCUUAUACUCUUUUGUAAGGACUGUCUUGUAAUCUUUUGUAAGACAGUUUGUAUGUUUAUGUCACGGACUCUUUGUAUGUUUAUGUCACGGAAUCUUUGUACUCUUUUGUCUUGUUGUUUUUGUAUGUUUAUGUCACGGACAAUGCAUUUGUAUGUUUCAUGAAUUAUAAAAUAUGCUACCCUCUAUCUCUUGCUUCUAUAAAUUGUUCUUUCUCUACAAACCAAUCACAAACGCAUUAUCCAUCUUCCUACGAAACCAAAAGCGAAGCCAAAUCACCAAUUCGUUCUCCAUCUUCUUA